GGGCGGCGUCAGAUGUGUAUAAGAGACAGGUGAGUCAUCGAAUCUUUGAACGCACAUUGCGCCCCGUGGUAUUCCGCGGGGCAUGCCUGUUCGAGCGUCAUUUCAACCCUCAAGCCCGGCUUGGUGUUGGGCCCUGCCGCUGCGGUGGGCCCUAAAGCUAGUGGCGGCGCCGCGAGGCCCUGAGCUGUAGUACCACGCUCGCUCCAGGACCGCGCGGUGGCGCGCCAGAACCCAACUCUACGGUUGACCUCGGAUCAGGUAGGGAUACCCGCUGAACUUAAGCAUAUCAAUAAGCGGAGG
rnacentral:misc_RNA from 1 species